rnacentral:tRNA from 1 species
GCGGACGUGGCGAAACAGGUAGACGCAAGGCACUUAAAAUGCCUCGGGCACCGCCCGUGCGGGUUCGAUCCCCGCCGUCCGCACCA